GACGAACGCUGGCGGCGUGCCUAACACAUGCAAGUCAACUUGACUGAAGGAGCAAUCUGACAGUAGAGUGGCGCAAGGGUGCGUAACGCGUAAGUAACUUGCCCCAAGGUAAGGAAUAACGUCGAGAAAUCGGCGCUAAUACCUCAUAAUGCAGCGGAUCCGCAUGGAUAUGUUGUUAAAGGUUUACCGCCUUGGGAUAGGCUUGCGUCUGAUUAGCUAGUUGGUGUGGUAACGGCACACCAAGGCUACGAUCAGUAACUGGUCUGAGAGGAUGAUCAGUCACACUGGAACUGAGACACGGUCCAGACUCCUACGGGAGGCAGCAGUGAGGAAUAUUGGGCAAUGCUCGAAAGAGUGACCCAGCAACGCCGCGUGGAGGAUGAAGGUAUUCUAUAUCGUAAACUCCUGUGAGAGCAG
rnacentral:rRNA from 1 species